GCUGGGCGUGGAGGGGCACACCUGUAAUCCCAGCAGCUUGAGAGACUGAGACAGGAGGAUCACAAGUUCAAAGCCAGCCUCAGCAAUGGCAAGGUGCUAAGCAACUCAGUGAGACCCUGUCUCUA
rnacentral:sRNA from 1 species